GCAGCCCUAACACAUGCCAAGUCGAGCGGUAGAGAGAAGGCUGGCUUCUCUUGAGAGCGGCGGACGGGUGAGUAAAGCCUAGGAAUCUGCCUGGUAGUGGGGGAUAACGUUCGGAAACGGACGCUAAUACCGCAUACGUCCUACGGGAGAAAGCAGGGGACCUUCGGGCCUUGCGCUAUCAGAUGAGCCUAGGUCGGAUUAGCUAGUUGGUGAGGUAAUGGCUCACCAAGGCGACGAUCCGUAACUGGUCUGAGAGGAUGAUCAGUCACACUGGAACUGAGACACGGUCCAGACUCCUACGGGAGGCAGCAGUGGGGAAUAUUGGACAAUGGGCGAAAGCCUGAUCCAGCCAUGCCGCGUGUGUGAAGAAGGUCUUCGGAUUGUAAAGCACUUUAAGUUGGGAGGAAGGGCAUUAACCUAAUACGUUAGUGUUUUGACGUUACCGACAGAAUAAGCACCGGCUAACUCUGUGCCAGCAGCCGCGGUAAUACAGAGGGUGCAAGCGUUAAUCGGAAUU
rnacentral:rRNA from 1 species